UACGUAGGGUGCAAGCGUUGUCCGGAAUUAUUGGGCGUAAAGAGCUCGUAGGCGGUCUGUCGCGUCGGCUGUGAAAACUCGGGGCUCAACUCCGAGCUUGCAGUCGAUACGGGCAGGCUAGAGUUCGGCAGGGGGAGACUGGAAUUCCUGGUGUAGCGGUGAAAUGCGCAGAUAUCAAGAGAACGACCGGUGGCGAAGGCGGGGUCUCUGGGGCCGAUGACUGACGCUGAGGAGCGAAAGCGUGGGGAGCGAACGG
rnacentral:rRNA from 1 species